rnacentral:rRNA from 1 species
UACGAAGGGGGCUAGCGUUGCUCGGAAUCACUGGGCGUAAAGCGCACGUAGGCGGAUUGCUAAGUCAGGGGUGAAAUCCUGGAGCUCAACUCCAGAACUGCCUUUGAUACUGGCGGUCUCGAGUCCGGGAGAGGUGAGUGGAACUGCGAGUGUAGAGGUGAAAUUCGUAGAUAUUCGUAAGAACACCAGUGGCGAAGGCGGCUCACUGGCCCGGUACUGACGCUGAGGUGCGAAAGCGUGGGGAGCAAACAGG